rnacentral:rRNA from 1 species
CCUACGGGAGGCAGCAGUGGGGAAUAUUGCACAAUGGGGGAAACCCUGAUGCAGCGACGCCGCGUGAGUGAAGAAGUAUUUCGGUAUGUAAAGCUCUAUCAGCAGGGAAGAAAAUGACGGUACCUGUUUAAGAAGCCACGUCUAACUACGUGCCAGCAGCCGCGGUUAUACGUCGGGGGCAAGCGUUAUCCGGAUUUACUGGGUGUAAAGGGAGCGUAGACGGCAGCACCAGUCUGGAGGGAAAUGCUGGGGCUUAACCCCGGAACUGCUGUUGAAACUGGGCAGCUUGAGUGCAGGAGAGGGAAGUGGAAUUCGUGGUGUAGCGGUGAAAUGCGUAGAUAUUAGGAGGAACACCGGUGGCGAAGGCGGCUUACUGGACUGUAACUGACGUUGAGGCUCGAAAGCGUGGGGAGCAAACAGGAUUAGAUACCCCGGUAGUC